GACUUUGGUUGACCUCCUGGCCCUGCCACCUCCUGGCUAGGCAGCCUCAGGCGAGUCACUCAACAGCCUCAGCAAGCUGUUAAAGGGAUCUGAAAAACAAGCCUUAAAGAUGACAGCCACCUGCCAGCGUUCUUGGGAAGAGCAAAUGAGGCUGAGCUCAAAAUCCGUAACAGAAACACCCAGAAAAUCUGUACGUGGUUAUCUCUGAAUCGAGUCAAGCCAGGAAUUUGAGUCCGUUUCUGUUUCAACCUUCUGGUUAUUGGCUUUUGAUCAGAUACAGGCUGGCAAGGCAAGGCCCUGUUUGUCAAAGCGAAAGACCGAAAGAAUUGGAAAAAGAUGAAUUUUCACAUGUUUUGUGUUUAGAACAGGUAGUUUCCUCUGCCUGCAAAGAAGCCGGAUUGAAGUCGUUGGCAUGACAACUCUUUGUAAGGGGCCAGGGGGUGGAUGGGAAUGUGUCACUAAGGAAGAUGCUUGAGGCAGAAAAUAUUGAUUUUCAACCCAACAGCCAUGUGCCCUCUUCCACGCCCCACCCUGACCUGAUCGGCUGAAGCAAACAUGUGGCCUUGUCCCCUUUUGUCUGUUCCUGGCUUAGGCAUGGACAUAUGACCCAGUUCUGGCCCAAGAAAUGUGAGACGUCUCCUGGGGGCUUCUGGGAAAGGGUUCUUAGCUUCUAUAAAGAGACACAAGGAAGAGACAGUGCCGUUUUCACCUCUGGAUGUUGUGUGGGUAUUUGCCUGGAGCCGUGGCAGCCAUCUUGAGACCAUGAGGGGUGACACUGAGGAUGACAGUAAGAAAUACAGGAAGAACCUGAGUCCUUGGUGCCAUCAUGGAGCUGUUGAAUUAACUGGUCCUGGCAUGGCUCUCCCUCUGGCUGUCCUGAUAGGGGAGAUGAUCAAUUUCUUCCCCACUGAAGGCCUCUUGUUUGGGCUUCCUGCUAUUUCCAACCAAGCGCAUCUCAACUGACACAAUGUUUGAAGCCUCCAAAUCACGCGGAGAGAAGUAACAGGCGGACCACUGGCUGGUCAGUCGAGUCGAGGUGGAAUUCCAUAGUUAGGAACCCACUGUUGCCUCCUCAUCAACCGGCACCUACACAGUGAGAAGUUCUGCUUCCUCUUUUAUACGCAAACCACGAGGGCGCCAGCCUUUGCCCGCCGCCUCGAAGGAAAUGAGCUUCUUCACGAGGACCCACCCAGGGAGUUUCGAGAUGAGCGCCCCCAGAGAUAGAACGGAAGCAGUCACGCGGCCUCCUUACCUCCAGGCUUCUCCCAGUGCCGCUUGCCCUCUUCCCUCUGCCUCACGUGUUCAGCAGGGGCCACAUAAGCACCUGCCGCUUGAGAUCGUUUUGGGGACGAAUGAGCCAAUGACUGUGACGUGCUUGCAGCAGCGCCCACACGUAAUCAGCAAUCAGAGCCGCGGGGUCUGCCUCACCCACGGCCUCUCCUCCCGGCUGGACCCCACCGUCCGUGCCUGUUACCCGUGGGGAGUCUCAACAGGAAGGCAGAAGCCUGCUGUAAAGAAUUCGGGGACUCCAUGUCGGGUCAGCAGCUGCGAAGAGUCCCGGGCCACAGGAAGCCUCUGGGACCCCAGCCUCCACCCGCCCUUUCCUGAGCCCUAAGAGAAACAGAGCCCUGGAUAAUGUGCCCAAUUACAAACAGCAUUUCCCGGCUUCCCUUGUGGCUGACUACGCCACAGGACUGCGUUCUCACCAACGUACGUGGAAGGGUGGCAGGGCACUUCCAAGGAGUCUUCUUAAAGAGACCUGACUCAACGGGAGGUGCCACUGUGCACGGACUUCACCUACCCAAGACUCCUCCAUCUGUGCUAAGCCUGCCCUCUCUGGGCACCUGAGCCCACAGUUAGUUGGCAGUAGGGCAGCAGAUGACGCCCAUCUUUGAAACUUCUGAGUUUGGCUCUUUCCUUCCAGGCUUUGCUCUCUUCCCUUUCCCCCCACUUUGGUUUGCUUUUAGUUUGCUGUCAAGUAAUUUUCCCCCACUGAUAAGUUAGUACAUCUUUUAGGAAACUUGCUUUCAAUCAAUUUGGCAUUCCCUGCUAAGUCAUUCCUAUUAUCGACAAACUUGUCAUAAUAGCUCCUAAUUUAAUAGAAAGUUCUUCCUUGAUUCCACAUCCCUCUAUAGUUAUUGCCCCACUUCUCUGCUCCCCUUUAAAGCAGAAAUUCUGGAAAGAUUCAUCUCUACCAGGGCUGUCUAGUUGGAUAACUGCAAUAAGCAGCGUUCCCAUUAUGUCCUGUGUUAAGGGCAUCCCUGAGUUGUGCAGUGCACAACCUGGAGAUCUUCACAUGGGAGGCUUGUUCUAUGCUCACUGCUUCCACUUCCUUAACCACCAGGCUCUUUUGAACCUAAUCUAAUCGGGCAUUGGUUUCCACCACUCUUCCAAAACAGCCCUUGUCAAGGUCCCAGUGACAUCCAUCUUACC
rnacentral:lncRNA from 1 species